AUUGAACGCUGGCGGCAGGCCUAACACAUGCAAGUCGAGCGGUAGAGAGGUGCUUGCAUCUCUUGAGAGCGGCGGACGGGUGAGUAAUGCCUAGGAAUCUGCCUAGUGGUGGGGGAUAACGUUCGGAAACGGACGCUAAUACCGCAUACGUCCUACGGGAGAAAGCGGGGGAUCUUCGGACCUCGCGCCAUUAGAUGAGCCUAGGUCGGAUUAGCUAGUUGGUGAGGUAAUGGCUCACCAAGGCGACGAUCCGUAACUGGUCUGAGAGGAUGAUCAGUCACACUGGAACUGAGGCGCGGUCCAGACUCCUACGGGAGGCAGCAGUGGGGAAUAUUGGACAAUGGGCGAAAGCCUGAUCCAGCCAUGCCGCGUGUGUGAAGAAGGUCUUCGGAUUGUAAAGCACUUUAAGUUGGGAGGAAGGGUCGUAACCUAAUACGUUGCGGCUUUGACGUUACCGACAGAAUAAGCACCGGCUAACUUCGUGCCAGCAGCCGCCGUAAGAC
rnacentral:rRNA from 1 species